AACAGCUCAUCAUCACUCCUGUCCAGGGAGAGACUCCUGUGUCAUAGCUCUUCUGUGUCUCCUUUUCCUAUCUCUUGAUUCUUCUCACAUAUGAGGAGGUCACUGUUGGCACUGGGGCUAAAAAUUACUCAAGCAAAAGUUGUUUUCUGAUGCCCUGCCCCUCUGUUCCAGUUCCAGGACUAGCCCUAUAGUAAGUUGCAAUAUUGAAAUAAACCAGGAUACAUAUUUGUGCUCAAAGGGAGCAGGAGAAUGGCAGUGGACAACUGUGCCAAUGGUAGGGGUACUGGAAUAUAGUCAUGGCCGGGCUCUACAGCCACAGAGGCACCUGACAUCAGAAGGAAGGCUUUCGGCUACAGUUCUGAAACCAAGGUAAAUGGACACAACGGACAGUGGUUGCAGUUAAGACGUUCAGCAACCUCUCCAGAAUUAACUACACCACAUCCCGGGCAAUAAGGGUGACAGAGAAGCCCCUCCCGUUCCCGCACAUACCUGAGAAGCAGGCCAUCCUACACUUUCUGAUAACUCAACCAGCAGCUAGGCUCCCCAAUAAGUUCCAAAAUGAGAAAACAAAAACCUCAUGCCCUGGGCCAUCAAAUCAUAAAAAAUAGUCACUGUUUCCUCCAAUGUUGUCAAGAAAUCCCUUACUCUGAGAAACUUUCCUGGGGUGCUACAGAUGAGAUACAUUCCCAGACUAUGAGGAAAAAGCCUAACUCUCCAUGUAGGAGACAGAGCAGGGCAUUUUGAGGAUCUGAAAGGAACCCACCCCCUGAAUCUCCCCUGCCAAAGGCUCCUAUUGAAUCUGGCAUGAUGCAUGGAAAAUGAAGUAUGAAUGGAAACAGGAGAAAGGAAACAGGAGGGGCCAGGGGCCUCGGGCUUCAGGCUGGAGCAGCACUGCAGCCGGACCUGCCUGGAAUAAUAAGCAGCUACGCUCAACGCUGGCCUCUGGGCUGCAGGCGGGGGCUGCUCAGUGGGGCCAACUCUCGUGCCCUGCCCUCUUCACUGGGCUGGGAGCCUCUGCUUAGAAGCGAGUGGGCAGCACUUGGAGAAGCUCUGGUUAGAGUAUUAGUGGCAUGCAAGAUGUGAGUGAAAAAGGAAAGACCUGGCGUGGGGGCGGUGGAUGGUCACGGGAGCAGGCGGGUCCCACCUCAGAACGCACCAGUUUGAAAUAUGAAACUUGCUUCAAGCUCACCCUUCCCCAUUUAGAGAGAAGUCAUGUAUGUGUACACACACACACACACACACACGUGUAUUAUACAGGCAGCAGCUUAGCAUAGUGGCUGGUAUGUGGUAGUUGGUCCAUACUUAGUAGCUAUUAUUACAUAUAUUAUUUCACCAAAUCUUCCUAACAGUAAGAGCACCCCAUUUUAGAGCAGGGAAAUACAGAUUUGGGAACUAGGAUUUGUGUUCUAGUCUGAAUCCAAAGCCACCCUCCCUCAAGUACAAGGAUGAUCCUGCAAGAAUGGAAACAGGAAUUCCCAUUGUGGCUCAGCGGGUUACGAAUCUGACUAGUAUCCG